rnacentral:misc_RNA from 1 species
AACGCACGAGACCUGCGGACCUGCGGAGGGAUCAUUAUUGAUAAAGGAUGUGCUGGCAUCAGAGUUCUCUGAUGCAUUUAAUGUGCACUCCGAACCUUCCUUUUCAAAUCCCAUGAUGUGCACCUACAAAAAGCUAGAUGGAGGACCGUUCAAGUCUGAAAAGAAGAAAGGGACCCAUCUGCUUAUUUAUUACAAACACCUUUGAUAGUCUUGUUUGAUGGCUAGACAUAACUUAAUGAA